rnacentral:rRNA from 1 species
GUAGGGGGCAAGCGUUAUCCGGAUUUACUGGGUGUAAAGGGAGCGUAGACGGCGAAGCAAGUCUGAAGUGAAAACCCAGGGCUCAACCCUGGGACUGCUUUGGAAACUGUUUUGCUAGAGUGUCGGAGAGGUAAGUGGAAUUCCUAGUGUAGCGGUGAAAUGCGUAGAUAUUAGGAGGAACACCAGUGGCGAAGGCGGCUUACUGGACGAUAACUGACGUUGAGGCUCGAAAGCGUGGGGAGCAAAC